rnacentral:rRNA from 1 species
CUUGCUAGAUGAUGACGAGCGGCGGACGGGUGAGUAAUACUUGGGGAUCUGCCUGAUGGCGGGGGACAACCACUGGAAACGGUGGCUAAUACCGCAUAAUACCUACGGGUCAAAGUGUGGGACCUUCGGGCCACACGCCAUCAGAUGAACCCAAGCGAGAUUAGCUAGUUGGUGGGGUAAAGGCUCACCAAGGCGACGAUCUCUAGCUGUUCUGAGAGGAUGAUCAGCCACACUGGGACUGAGACACGGCCCAGACUCCUACGGGAGGCAGCAGUGGGGAAUAUUGGACAAUGGGCGCAAGCCUGAUCCAGCCAUGCCGCGUGUGUGAAGAAGGCCUUCGGGUUGUAAAGCACUUUCAGUGGUGAGGAAGGGGUGCUAGUUAAUAGCUAGCAUCAUUGACGUUAGCCACAGAAGAAGCACCGGCUAACUCCGUGCCAGCAGCCGCGGUAAUACGGAGGGUGCGAGCGUUAAUCGGAAUUACUGGGCGUAAAGCGCACGUAGGCGGUUUGUUAAGCAAGAUGUGAAAGCCCAGGGCUCAACCUUGGAAUUGCAUUUUGAACUGGCAAGCUAGAGUUUUGAAGAGGGUGGUAGAAUUUCCAGUGUAG